rnacentral:rRNA from 1 species
UACGGGGGGAGCAAGCGUUGUUCGGAUUUACUGGGCGUAAAGGGCGCGUAGGCGGCACGGCAAGUCGGGAGUGAAAGCCCGGGGCUCAACCCCGGAGGGUCUUCCGAAACUGCCGAGCUAGAGUGCGGAAGAGGCAACCGGAAUUCCCAGUGUAGCGGUGAAAUGCGUAGAUAUUGGGAAGAACACCAGAGGCGAAGGCGGGUUGCUGGGCCGACACUGACGCUGAGGCGCGAAAGCCAGGGGAGCAAACGGG